CCUCUGGGGGGACCCCGAGGCGUUCCCAGGCCAGCCGGGGGCUCCGCCCAGUGCAACAUGCCCGGAACACCUCUCCAGGGAGGCGUCCAGGAGGCAUCCUUGAGUUUUCCUUCUCUCUGUUGUGUGCUCUGUUCUCAUGUUCCUUUUUUCCAGGGUCUUCAAAACUUUGGCUUGUCCAGCAUUUUAGGCAGCAGACAGGAGAAGUUGUGUCCUGCUUUUUCUGGCUUAGAUGAUGAAGACAACGACAAAGACGAGCUGUCACAAACAGAGCUGAGUGAUUGUGAAUCAGACGAUCCACUUAAGGACCGUCAUCUGGAACUGGCUCAUCUUGGAGGAGGUCUGCAGUACAAGGAGUCUGAGACCAGUAAAAACAUUGAGGAGGCUCAUUCCUCAUUGGAUGUCAAGGAGCUGUCACAGAAGGUUCUGGACAUCAGCGACCUGUCUGGAACCAUGAGCCCAGUGGACAGAGAGGAAAGAGUGGGAACGGGAGAAGAAGAAGGCAGAGGAAGAGCAGCGCUCCAGGCCGGUAUUCUGUUGUUUUAAGGCACAUUUUGAGCUGAGACCAAGAGCCUCCCAUCCAGAACAUUGACCGACUCGUUCUCCAUCAGGCCAGCCCAACCCCGUCUCAGUCCUCCCUGUCCGAGCCCCAUGUCCUCCAUCCGCAGAAGGCCCACAGCUUCCUGCAGAGGCCUGAAACAUCUCGAGGCCGACCGGCCAGGAAUGUAGAGGAGAGCUCUUUCAAAAAACAAGAGAGCCGCGAAGAAGUGGAGCCAAGGAUUAGCCAGAAGAAAACCAGCAUGGGAAAGAAAGAAGACUGCAAGAUGGCGGAGAACAGAGAGACAAGUUUUAGAGAAAGGAAAGAGUCUUGAGAGGAGAAGGAGGGACGCAGAGCUAGUGGUAGAGGAGGAGAAGGAGCCCAUGUUGAAGGAAGAGGAGAAGAGGAUGCAUCUCCUCAAGGAGGAGCUAGCCAGAGAAGAGCAGCAAGAAGAGAGGAAGCUGAGGCUAGAAAGUGAUGAAAGGUUUAGGACUCUGCAACUCCUGUUCCACAGGAGAGAGGGGGAGGCGAGGUUGAAAGAGGAGAGCAGCCGAACACUGGAGGAGCUCAGGGAGGACAGGCAGAAGCAGCAACAGAAACUCAAGCUCAAAGCGCCUUACAGUCACAAACGGAUUCACAUUCUGAUGGCGGCUUCACAGCCGAACUCUGGCGCCAACCUUCCACCAGAGGCAGGGUGGGGUUCAGUGUCUUGCCCAAGGACACUUCAAUACACGAGGUGGCCAAGGUGGGAGUUGAACAUCAGAGGUCGACCGCCCUACCUCUUAUUUUUCUGAAGGGUGACGUGAGACUGUGGCUUCAAGGAAUCAAGCCGUGUGGAGGGAGGAUAGGGAGGCCAUGCUGAUGGAGCUGUGCGCUGCUCUGGAGGAGGAACGAGCUGCGGCACGUGAGGAAGUGGAGGCUCGGAAGAAGCAGGACAUGAGCGUUUGAAGGUGGAGGCAGAGGAGGAGCUGCAGGCAGAGGAGUCCAGACUCCGGAGGGAGGCGGAGCAGAAAAUGAAAGCUGUACAACAGGAGGUGAAUGAGUGUGAGGCUGGGAGUCAGAUUCUUCUUUACUCUAGGCUAAAACUGAACCCAAACAGUCAGAGGGGGCGCUGGCAUCAUUGCCAAAACCAGGAGGUCCUGCUGCAGACUAAAGCACUAGAUCUGAAGAGGAGGAGAAGACGGCUGGAGGGAGAGGAAGUGGAUUGCCAGGUCAGGGCAAGGCAAGU